UACGUAGGGGGCAAGCGUUGUCCGGAAUCAUUGGGCGUAAAGAGCGUGUAGGCGGCCCGGUAAGUCCGCUGUGAAAGUCCAGGGCUCAACCCUGGGAUGCCGGUGGAUACUGUCGGGCUCGAGUCCGGAAGAGGAGUGUGGAAUUCCUGGUGUAGCGGUGAAAUGCGCAGAUAUCAGGAGGAACACCCAUGGCGAAGGCAGCACUCUGGGACGUGACUGACGCUGAGACGCGAAAGCGUGGGGAGCAAACAGG
rnacentral:rRNA from 1 species